rnacentral:lncRNA from 1 species
GCACCUACCCGGUUCAAAGCUUGUGGGUCAGUGAGGAUAUUCUGCAUCAUCUGCAACAUAGCGGGAUUUUGCCGGUUCAUAGCUUGUGGGUCAGUGAGGAUAUUCUGCAUCAUCUGCAACAUAGCGGGAUUUUGCCGGUUCAUAGCUUGUGGGUCAGUGAGGAUAUUCUGCAUCAUCUGCAACAUAGCGGGAUUUUGCCGGUUCAUAGCUUGUGGGUCAGUGAGGAUAUUCUGCAUCAUCUGCAACAUAGCGGGAUUUUGUAUAGCCUGACUAAGAAGAGAUGAGUCCAUACCACCGGUCAUACUUUCCAAGUUGGGUAAACCGAGCCCUCCUAAACCUGCAGCUCCGGUCGCCCUCGCCCCACCAGCAGGACUCGGCCUGGUG